UGGGGAAUUUUGGACAAUGGGCGAAAGCCUGAUCCAGCAAUGCCGCGUGUGUGAAGAAGGCCUUCGGGUUGUAAAGCACUUUUGUCCGGAAAGAAAUCCUUGGCUCUAAUACAGUCGGGGGAUGACGGUACCGGAAGAAUAAGCACCGGCUAACUACGUGCCAGCAGCCGCGGUAAUACGUAGGGUGCAAGCGUUAAUCGGAAUUACUGGGCGUAAAGCGUGCGCAGGCGGUUUGCUAAGACCGAUGUGAAAUCCCCGGGCUCAACCUGGGAACUGCAUUGGUGACUGGCAGGCUAGAGUAUGGCAGAGGGGGGUAGAAUUCCACGUGUAGCAGUGAAAUGCGUAGAGAUGUGGAGGAAUACCGAUGGCGAAGGCAGCCCCCUGGGCCAAUACUGACGCUCAUGUACGAAAGCGUGGGAGCAAACAGGAUUAGAUACCCUGGUAGUCCACGCCCUAAACGAUGUCAACUAGUUGUUGGGGAUUCAUUUUCCUUAGUAACGUAGCUAACGCGUGAAGUUGACCGCCUGGGGAGUACGGUCGCAAGAUUAAAACUCAAAGGAAUUGACGGGGUCAUAGCUGUUU
rnacentral:rRNA from 1 species